AGCACUUGUCCCUGCCCUAGAGAUCUGUGGAAUACUGCCUAGUGGAGCUGUGAGAAGAGGGCCACCGUCCUCCAGACCCCAGAAUGGUAGAUCUACCGACAGCUUGCACCAUGCACCUGGAAAAGCCACAGACACUCAGUGCCAGCCCAUGAAAGUGGCUGGGAGGGAGGCUGUACCCUGCAAAGUCACAAAGGUGGAACUGCCCAAGACCAUGAGAACCCACCUCUUGCAUCAGCAUAACCUGGAUGUGAGAACUAAAGUCAAAGGAGAUCAUUUUGAAGCUUUAAGAUUUGACUUCCCCACUGGAUUUUGGACUUGCAAGGGGCCUGUAACCCCUUUGUUUUGGCCAAUUUCUCCUAUUUAAAACAGCUGUAUUUACCCAAUACCUGUACCCCCAUUGUAUCUAAGAAGUAACUAGUUUGAUUUUGAUUUUACAGGCUCAUAGGUGGAAGGGACUUGC
rnacentral:lncRNA from 1 species